UACAGAGGUCCCAAGCGUUGUUCGGAUUCACUGGGCGUAAAGGGUGCGUAGGUGGGUUUGUUAGUUCGAUGUGAAAGCCCGGGGCUUAACCCCGGAAUGGCAUUGGAUACUGCAGAGCUGGAGGACUGGAGGGGGGACUGGAAUUCUUGGUGUAGCAGUGAAAUGCGUAGAUAUCAAGAGGAACACCAGUGGCGAAGGCGAGUCCCUGGACAAUACCUGACACUGAGGCACGAAAGCCAGGGGAGCAAAC
rnacentral:rRNA from 1 species